rnacentral:tRNA from 1 species
GCACCCGUAGCUCAGACGGAUAGAGCACCUGCCUUCUAAGCAGGGGGUCACAAGUUCGAAUCUUGUCGGGUGUA